rnacentral:rRNA from 1 species
GCUCAGGGAUGAACGCGGGCGGUAUGCUUAACACAUGCAAGUCGAACGGAGUUCUUAGGAACUUAGUGGCGGACGGGUGAGUAACGCGUGAGAAUUUGGCUUCAGGUCGGGGACAACAGUUGGAAACGACUGCUAAUACCGGAUAUGCCGAAAGGUGAAAGGCUUGCUGCCUGAAGAUAAGCUCGCGUCUGAUUAGCUAGUUGGUAGUGUAAGGGACUACCAAGGCGACGAUCAGUAGCUGGUCUGAGAGGAUGAUCAGCCACACUGGGACUGAGACACGGCCCAGACUCCUACGGGAGGCAGCAGUGGGGAAUUUUCCGCAAUGGGCGAAAGCCUGACGGAGCAAUACCGCGUGAGGGAGGAAGGCUCUUGGGUCGUAAACCUCUUUUCUCAAGGAAGAAGAAAGUGACGGUACUUGAGGAAUAAGCAUCGGCUAACUCCGUGCCAGCAGCCGCGGUAAUACGGAGGAUGCAAGCGUUAUCCGGAAUGAUUGGGCGUAAAGGGUCCGCAGGUGGUACUGUAAGUCUGCUGUUAAAGAGUCUGGCUCAACCAGAUAAAAGCAGUGGAAACUACAGAACUAGAGUGCGUUCGGGGCAGAAGGAAUUCCUGGUGUAGCGGUGAAAUGCGUAGAUAUCAGGAAGAACACCGGUGGCGAAAGCGUUCUGCUAGGCCGCAACUGACACUGAGGGACGAAAGCUAGGGGAGCGAAUGGGAUUAGAUACCCCAGUAGUCCUAGCCGUAAACGAUGGAUACUAGGCGUGGCUUGUAUCGACCCGAGCCGUGCCGGAGCUAACGCGUUAAGUAUCCCGCCUGGGGAGUACGCACGCAAGUGUGAAACU